rnacentral:rRNA from 1 species
ACGCUGGCGGCAGGCCUAACACAUGCAAGUCGAGCGGUAGAGAGUAGCUCGCUUCUCUUGAGAGCGGCGGACGGGUGAGUAAUGCCUAGGAAUCUGCCUGGUAGUGGGGGAUAACGUUCGGAAACGGACGCUAAUACCGCAUACGUCCUACGGGAGAAAGCAGGGGACCUUCGGGCCUUGCGCUAUCAGAUGAGCCUAGGUCGGAUUAGCUAGUUGGUGAGGUAAUGGCUCACCAAGGCGACGAUCCGUAACUGGUCUGAGAGGAUGAUCAGUCACACUGGAACUGAGACACGGUCCAGACUCCUACGGGAGGCAGCAGUGGGGAAUAUUGGACAAUGGGCGAAAGCCUGAUCCAGCCAUGCCGCGUGUGUGAAGAAGGUCUUCGGAUUGUAAAGCACUUUAAGUUGGGAGGAAGGGUUGUAGAUUAAUACUCUGCAAUUUUGACGUUACCGACAGAAUAAGCACCGGCUAACUCUGUGCCAGCAGCCGCGGUAAUACAGAGGGUGCAAGCGUUAAUCGGAAUUACUGGGCGUAAAGCGCGCGUAGGUGGUUUGUUAAGUUGGAUGUGAAAUCCCCGGGCUCAACCUGGGAACUGCAUUCAAAACUGACUGACUAGAGUAUGGUAGAGGGUGGUGGAAUUUCCUGUGUAGCGGUGAAAUGCGUAGAUAUAGGAAGGAACACCAGUGGCGAAGGCGACCACCUGGACUAAUACUGACACUGAGGUGCGAAAGCGUGGGGAGCAAAC